GACGAACGCUGGCGGCGUGCCUAAUACAUGCAAGUAGAACGCUGAAGAGAGGAGCUUGCUCUUCUUGGAUGAGUUGCGAACGGGUGAGUAACGCGUAGGUAACCUGCCUUGUAGCGGGGGAUAACUAUUGGAAACGAUAGCUAAUACCGCAUAACAAUGGAUGACACAUGUCAUUUAUUUGAAAGGGGCAAUUGCUCCACUACAAGAUGGACCUGCGUUGUAUUAGCUAGUAGGUGAGGUAAUGGCUCACCUAGGCGACGAUACAUAGCCGACCUGAGAGGGUGAUCGGCCACACUGGGACUGAGACACGGCCCAGACUCCUACGGGAGGCAGCAGUAGGGAAUCUUCGGCAAUGGGGGCAACCCUGACCGAGCAACGCCGCGUGAGUGAAGAAGGUUUUCGGAUCGUAAAGCUCUGUUGUAAGUCAAGAACGGGUGUGAGAGUGGAAAGUUCACACUGUGACGGUAGCUUACCAGAAAGGGACGGCUAACUACGUGCCAGCAGCCGCGGUAAUACGUAGGUCCCGAGCGUUGUCCGGAUUUUAUGGGCGUAAAGCGAGCGCAGGCGGUUUGAUAAGUCUGAAGUUAAGGCUGUGGCUCAACCAUAGUUCGCUUUGGAAACUGUCAAACUUGAGUGCAGAAGGGGAGAGUGGAAUUCCAUGUGUAGCGGUGAAAUGCGUAGAUAUAUGGAGGAACACCGGUGGCGAAAGCGGCUCUCUGGUCUGUAACUGACGCUGAGGCUCGAAAGCGUGGGGAGCGAACAGGAUUAGAUACCCUGGUAGUCCACGCCGUAAACGAUGAGUGCUAGGUGUUGGAUCCUUUCCGGGAUUCAGUGCCGCAGCUAACGCAUUAAGCACUCCGCCUGGGGAGUACGACCGCAAGGUUGAAACUCAAAGGAAUUGACGGGGGCCCGCACAAGCGGUGGAGCAUGUGGUUUAAUUCGAAGCAACGCGAAGAACCUUACCAGGUCUUGACAUCCCGAUGCUAUUUCUAGAGAUAGAAAGUUACUUCGGUACAUCGGUGACAGGUGGUGCAUGGUUGUCGUCAGCUCGUGUCGUGAGAUGUUGGGUUAAGUCCCGCAACGAGCGCAACCCCUAUUGUUAGUUGCCAUCAUUCGGUUGGGCACUCUAGCGAGACUGCCGGUAAUAAACCGGAGGAAGGUGGGGAUGACGUCAAAUCAUCAUGCCCCUUAUGACCUGGGCUACACACGUGCUACAAUGGUUGGUACAACGAGUUGCGAGUCGGUGACGGCGAGCUAAUCUCUUAAAGCCAAUCUCAGUUCGGAUUGUAGGCUGCAACUCGCCUACAUGAAGUCGGAAUCGCUAGUAAUCGCGGAUCAGCACGCCGCGGUGAAUACGUUCCCGGGCCU
rnacentral:rRNA from 1 species